UUUAAUGAGAGUUUGAUCCUGGCUCAGGACGAACGCUGGCGGCGUGCCUAAUACAUGCAAGUAGAACGCUGAGGUUUGGUGUUUACACUAGACUGAUGAGUUGCGAACGGGUGAGUAACGCGUAGGUAACCUGCCUCAUAGCGGGGGAUAACUAUUGGAAACGAUAGCUAAUACCGCAUAAGAGUAAUUAACACAUGUUAGUUAUUUAAAAGGAGCAAUUGCUUCACUGUGAGAUGGACCUGCGUUGUAUUAGCUA
rnacentral:rRNA from 1 species